rnacentral:rRNA from 1 species
CCUACGGGAGGCAGCAGUAAGGAAUAUUGGUCAAUGGGCGCAAGCCUGAACCAGCCAUGCCGCGUGCAGGAAGACGGCCCUAUGGGUUGUAAACUGCUUUUGAACAAGAGAAAACCUCGGUACGUGUACCGAGCUGAUAGUAUUGUUAGAAUAAGCAUCGGCUAACUUCGUGCCAGCAGCCGCGGUAAGACGAAGGAUGCAAGCGUUAUCCGGAUUCAUUGGGUUUAAAGGGUGCGUAGGCGGCCUGAUAAGUCAGUGGUGAAAUCUCUCAGCUUAACUGAGAAACUGCCAUUGAUACUGCCGGGCUUGAGUACAGAUGAUGUGGGCGGAAUAUGACAUGUAGUGGUGAAAUACUUAGAUAUGUCAUAGAACACCGAUUGCGAAGGCAGCUCACAAAACUGUAACUGACGCUGAGGCACGAAAGUGCGGGGAUCAAACAGGAUUAGAUACCCUGGUAGUCCGCACCGUAAACGAUGAUUACUCGUUGUUGGCAAUAUGACCGUCAGCGACCAAGCGAAAGCGAUAAGAAUCCACCUGGGGAGUACGCCGGCAACGGUGAAACUUAGAGAGUGACGGNNGAGACGNGCGAGGACGACACGAGGGAGGAGG